rnacentral:lncRNA from 1 species
AGGACGUUACAUAUAUUAACUCUUUACACACCACAACCCUAUAAGAUGGGUAGAGUUAUAACCCUUAUUUUUCAAAUGAGGAAAUGAAACAGAAAGACAUGAAGGGCAUCACUCUACAGAAGCCAAGGAUCUCUUCUCAACUGCAAACUCACUGAUGCUGAGACGGUCACUUCUCUUGUUAAGCCUCCAACUUUCCCUCAUCAUUAUGGGAGGGAGUUGGAAUUAGAUUAGUUCUCUCAACCCAGUUCUAACAUUCUGUGCAUCUGUGAGCCUAAGUAAGUGUUGAAUAUCUUUA